rnacentral:sRNA from 1 species
UAUCUCUCCGUACGGGGAAGGAUGAGAAGCUUCGACUAAGGUUCGAUUCGAGCGCAGCGAGAAAGCGUUGCCGCAGGCAACGACCCGAAGGGCGAAGCGCGCAGCGCUGAGUCA